UACGUAGGGGGCGAGCGUUGUCCGGAUUUAUUGGGCGUAAAGAGCGUGUAGGCGGCCAGGUAGGUCUGCUGUGAAAACUCGAGGCUCAACCUCGAGACGUCGGCGGAAACCAUCUGGCUAGAGUCCGGAAGAGGAGAGUGGAAUUCCUGGUGUAGCGGUGAAAUGCGCAGAUAUCAGGAAGAACACCCGUGGCGAAGGCGGCUCUCUGGGACGGUACUGACGCUGAGACACGAAAGCGUGGGGAGCAAACAGG
rnacentral:rRNA from 1 species